rnacentral:rRNA from 1 species
UACGUAGGGGGCAAGCGUUUGUCCGGAAUCAUUGGGCGUAAAGCGCGUGUAGGCGGCUCGAUAAGUCUGCUGUGAAAGUUCAGGGCUCAACCCUGAAAUGCCGGUGGAAACUGUCGGGCUAGAGUCCGGAAGAGGCGAGUGGAAUUCCUGGUGUAGCGGUGAAAUGCGCAGAUAUCAGGAGGAACACCAAUGGCGAAGGCAGCUCGCUGGGACGGUACUGACGCUGAGACGCGAAAGCGUGGGGGGCAAACAGG